GGGCCCGUGGUGUAGCGGAAGCACGCUGGCUCGGCAAGCCAGAGGUCCCGGGUUCAAAUCCCGGCGGGUCCACCA
rnacentral:tRNA from 1 species